rnacentral:snRNA from 1 species
AUAGGUCUUUAUUCUUAACAUCAAAGUGUAGUAUUUGUUCUUAUCAGCUUAAGAUCUGACGCAUCUUUCAUCGAAAGGCAAAAAGCUUGUUUUUAGCCUCAUCACAA